CUGCUUUCUCUCUCCUCCCUUCACUCAAUCUCUCAUAUUCGGUCUCUCACUCUCUCCUCCCUCCAUGAGAGAGAAGCAAGCCCGACGAAUUGAACCAUCUCAACGGGUUUCUCUUUCGCCGCCUCAGACGUUCGGCGAAGAUUAAUAUCCCUGAUCUCUCCGACGUUCGGCGACGGUGGCAUCAAGGAGAGGAACAUCAAUUCGCUGACUCUAGCUUCAACGAUGCAGCGAAGGCGAGAAGAAGAACUAGGGAUUUCCCAACGCAGUCGCUGUCUAUGCCGCCGCCUCCACCGCCGGAUUUCCAGCAUCCAGUCGUUGUCUUCACAUCUUCUCCUUCCCGCUGCUCUUCUCCAUCUCCGCGAUCCCCUUUUCCCUCAAUUGUCUGGAUCUGACUUCGGAUACUCCUUAUACAAAUUCAACUAAAAACCAGCUUGCCAUAGAAGUCAUAACCCGCAUCAUAGAUCAAUGUCGAUGGUUGAAUGUGCAUAUUGUCCAACCACAUGGUGCUGUUUUUGAAAUACGAAUUCCUCAAGGUUAUGGUGCUCGGUGGUCGACUGAUGGUACCAAGGUAAAGAUAUAGAUUGGGAAAAAGCCGUAAUCUGCAACACUCGGCCCCACGAAUCCGCUAGGGUUUCUCCAUUGAUUUCCUUUCCAAGGAGACAGAUUUCUUCUUCAACGAUUCACUGAGAAAGCGGCGGCUGGUUUGAUCAAGAAGGCGAGGGCGAAUAAGCUCAAGUAGGAAGCUGAGAAGAAGAAGAAGCUUGCUGAUGAAGUUUCUUCUGCUGCGAUUGCCUUUGGAUGCAGACAAGGAUGAUGAGAAGAGAUCUAAGCACAUAGGUGGUGGUUGAAGGAAAAUCGCAUAGUUGUACUGCUGUUUUCUGGCUUCAAUAAACAAGUUCUUGCCCAGGACUGCGGGUAUUAUGGGCAAGAAACAAGGGGAAGUAGAAAAGGGGCAGAGGAGAUAUGAUAAUGGUAGUGGGGACUUUUAUACAGAGCCAUCAAUGUAGCUGGUGAAUCCAUCUCGAAUUUCAAAGAAAAACGAGGGCCAGAUAUCACCGAACGAGUUCAGCCCCGGGCUUUUGGAUCUUCACUUUCAUGAUGCUGAACUUCUCACUGAGGUGGGUGUUACAUUAAUCUCCCUGUCUCUCUCAACGAAUUUUUUGAUUCAGUAUGUAUUAUAUAAUACUUAUUCAUAAACUACAUUAUUUGGUUAAAGAGUGAAAUUUAAGUGACUGGGAUGUUUCUUUAAAGAUGAGGAUGUUAUGUUGUAACCACAUUGCAUAACAUCAGUUUGGUUUAUGCUAUGUGAAUUUUUGGUUGA